rnacentral:lncRNA from 1 species
CUGGCAACGGCUGACAAUUAAAGGCAGCGGAUUGGACAGUGGGGAGGACACAGAAUUCCAAGGAGCCCCUCCCUUCCAGCUGCCAGGGCUGUGCUCAUACACGAGCCCCCCCCCCCCCAGGGGCUUCAGAAAGUCCCCACCGUCAUAUGAGGACCUCCCACUCACUCAUCCACCACCCCCAAAGCCUGUGCACCCUCGGGCUCAUCCCAACAACCACUUUCCCCCAAAAAUUCACUGGGGACUGGAACAAAACACGGCCCAUCAGAAGCUGUUACUGGACACCACUGAUAGACACGUGGUAGCUAACCGAGAGCUGCUGACCGGCUGAAUCCCAUGAGCACAACGCGCCAUGUUUCUCAGCAGGCUGCAUGGGCAAAGGACUCACCUUCCUGUAAGCUGACGGAAACACAGUCAGGGAACACUGGUGAGGUCACCUUCAUCCUCAGACUUGAGCAAUGUGAGUGGCUUUCAGACAACCUUGAGCCCAGGAAGUGAUGAUAUUCUGAGAGGUCACAGUCAUUACCAACUUCAGACAGGUGUUGCAGCUGUGGGAGAAGCCAGACGGAGAAUCAACACAAACGUCGAUGCAGUCCCACCCAGCAACAGCUCCCCUGUCCAAGGAGCCCAUGGUCACUGCCCACCGCUUGCUGGUUUCCCUGCCUGAGAGCUCUGGGGAUGCUGAGGUGAUAGUUUCUCUGUCUCUGUCUGCACAGUUCCCAGCUCAGGCCCCAGCACCUCAGAUCUGAACUGCACUCACUCAAGGACAGCACCAAAGUGCCUGCAAACCUCCCAUCAUCACAAGGACAUUUCUGCACAUGUGUCUUGUCACCCAUGGGCUCCUUCUCCAGGAGUAAACAGUCACUGCCUGAGAGAGCAGCCUGUCCACACAGACCCCACCUGCUGACAUCGACCUGCGAGCUCUGCUGAAACCGGACCAGGACCGUGCUCAGGGCCUCCUCUGCUGCUCUCCUGUCCGGAGGCACAGCAUCUCCGCCCUGUCCACCACAUUCUGUGCUGCCACACCCCUACUGCAG